rnacentral:rRNA from 1 species
ACACAUGCAAGUUGAACGGGAUUUGUAUGGUGCUUGCACCAUGUAAUGAGAGUAGCGCACUGGUGAGUAACACGUGGGAACAUACCUUGAAGUGGGGGACAACAGUUGGAAACGACUGCUAAUACCGCAUAAUCCCUGAGGGGGAAAGAUUUAUCGCUUUAAGAUUGGCCCGCGGAAGAUUAGGUAGUUGGUGGGGUAAAGGCCUACCAAGCCGACGAUCUAUAGCUGGUCUGAGAGGACGAACAGCCACAUUGGAACUGAGACACGGUCCAGACUCCUACGGGAGGCAGCAGUGAGGAAUAUUGGGCAAUGGAGGAAACUCUGACCCAGCCAUGCCGCGUGAGUGAAGAAGGUUUUCGAAUUGUAAAGCUCUUUCGGAUGGGACGAUGAUGACGGUACCAUCUAAAGAAGCCCCGGCAAACUUCGUGCCAGCAGCCGCGGUAAUACGAAGGGGGCAAGCGUUGUUCGGAAUUACUGGGCGUAAAGGGUGUGUAGGCGGAUUUGUAAGAUAGUGGUGAAAUACCUGAGCUCAACUUAGGAAUUGCCAUUAUAACUAUAGAUCUGGAGUGACAGAGAGGAUAUUGGAAUACCCAGUGUAGAGGUGAAAUUCGUAGAUAUUGGGUAGAACACCAGUGGCGAAGGCGAGUAUCUGGCUGUCAACUGACGCUGAGGCACGAAAGCAUGGGGAUCAAACAGGAUUAGAUACCCUGGUAGUCCAUGCUGUAAACGAUGAAUGCUAGUUGUCGGCAAAAGCCGGUGACGCAGUUAACGCGAUAAGCAUUCCGCCUGGGG